rnacentral:rRNA from 1 species
GACGUAGGGCGCGAGCGUUGUCCGGAUUUAUUGGGCGUAAAGAGCUCGUAGGCGGCUUGUCGCGUCGAGUGUGAAAUCCUGCGGCUCAACUGCAGGCUUGCAUUCGAUACGGGCAGGCUGGAGUUCGGUAGGGGAGACUGGAAUUCCUGGUGUAGCGGUGAAAUGCGUAGAUAUCGUAAGGAAGACCAGUGGCGAAGGCGGGUCUCUGGACAGUUCCUGACGCUGAGGCACGAAGGCCAGGGGAGCAAACGGG